CCUACGGGAGGCAGCAGUGGGGAAUAUUGCACAAUGGGGGAAACCCUGAUGCAGCGACGCCGCGUGAGUGAAGAAGUAUUUCUGUAUGUAAAGCUCUAUCAGCAGGGAAGAAGAAAGACGGUACCUGACUAAGAAGCCCCGGCUAACUACGUGCCAGCAGCCGCGGUAAUACGUAGGGGGAAAGCUUUAUCCGGAUUUACUGGGGGUAAAGGGAGCGUAGACGGUUGUGCAAGUCUGAAGUGAAAGCCCGGGGCUCAACCCUGGGACUGCUUUGGAAACUGUGGAGCUGGAGUGCUGGAGAGGUAAGCGGAAUUCCUAGUGUAGCGGUGAAAUGCGUAGAUAUUAGGAGGAACACCAGUGGCGAAGGCGGCUUGCUGGACAGUAACUGACGUUGAGGCUCGAAAGCGUGGGGAGCAAACAGGAUUAGAUACCCCAGUAGUC
rnacentral:rRNA from 1 species